rnacentral:rRNA from 1 species
GGUUGACCUCGGAUUAGGUAGGAAUUCCC